rnacentral:rRNA from 1 species
ACUCCAGACUCCUACGGGAGGCAGCAGUGGGGGAUAUUGCACAAUGGGGGGAACCCUGAUGCAGCGACGCCGCGUGGGUGAAGAAGUCUUUCGGUAUGUAAAGCCCUAUCGGCAGGGAAGAAAUUGGACGGUACCUGACUAAGAAGCCCUGGCUAACUACGUGCCAGCAGCCGCGGUAAUACGUAGGGGGCAAGCGUUAUCCGGAUUCACUGGGUGUAAAGGGAGCGUAGACGGCCAUGCAAGCCUGGAGUGAAAGCCCGGGGCCCAACCCCGGGGCUGCUCUGGGAACUGUGCGGCUGGAGUGCGGGAGGGGCAGGCGGAAUUCCUGGUGUAGCGGUGAAAUGCGUAGAUAUCAGGAGGAACACCGGCGGCGAAGGCGGCCUGCUGGACCGCGACUGACGUUGAGGCUCGAGAGCGUGGGGAGCAAACAGGAUUAGAUACCCCGGUAUA